rnacentral:rRNA from 1 species
UACGAGGGGGGCGAGCGUUGUUCGGAAUUAUUGGGCGUAAAGGGUGCGUAGGCGGCCCUGUAAGUAUGGUGUGAAAUCUCCCGGCUUAACUGGGAGGGUGCGCUAUAGACUGCGGGGCUCGAGUGUGGGAGAGGAAAGUGGAAUUCCUGGUGUAGCGGUGAAAUGCGUAGAUAUCAGGAGGAACACCGGUGGUGUAAACGGCUUUCUGGACCAUAACUGACGCUGAGGCACGAAAGCGUGGGUAGCAAACAGG